AGUCCUGUGGCCCGACGGAUAAGGCGUUGGCCUCCAGAUCCAAAGAUUGUGGGUUCGAAUCCCAUCAGGAUCA
rnacentral:tRNA from 1 species